rnacentral:ncRNA from 2 species
UCGGCUCUUCCUAUCAUUG